GUGCUCCCAACUCUGAGACACCGCGGGCAGAGUCGCCUCCGCACUUUAUUAGACAGCGAGGACAGGCGGGGGUCGCGCCGCGCUUCCUUCAGGCUCCCUCCAUCGCAAGCCGCCUACAGGUCUCCCGAGGUCUCGGGUUCCUCCUCUGCAGAGUGGACACCCUCCUGCCUUCUGAGGCCUGCGAGUGAGUGUCAGAUGUGCAGAAGCUGGAGGGAGGGACAGGCAGCCCCCCUACCCCCGCCACCUGCCCAUGUUGCUAGAGCUGCAGACCCCACUUGUAAAGCCAACAGCCAGUGCUGGCCAGGCACCAUGCCACUUCGUGCUGAACCCUCACCCAAACUCUGGAAGAUGGAUGUAUGGUCCCCGUACUACAGAUGAAGAAACCAAAGUUCACAAAAGUCGAAGCCCCUGGGAGGGGCAAAAUGGUAACAGAAGAGAGAGCCAAACCAAGGCCUGCUACAUUUGUGCCCUGGCCCUCGUCUCUCACUGAAGCAAAGGCAACCCCCCACCCCCAGCACACACGUUCCUGCCUGCCGUGCACUGCAGACACUGCGCCCGCCUGUCCCCCGCCACCGUCCCAGCCCAGGGCUGGGGAUGGAGGCACGGCCAGCCCACGCGUACGCCCCCUAGGGGCGGCCCCCACCAGUCCUUGUAGAAGCGGCGACGGCACUCGUCACUAAGGUGCUCUGCAAAGAUCGUCUUGAAGCUCCGCAGGCCGCGAGGGGUGGCCACAUAGCCCACCACGCCCACCACCACCAGAGGCGGUGUCUCCACAAUCGUCACAGCCUCCACUUCCUCCCGCUUGGAAAUUUCUGGAAGAGACCCCAAGAAGGAGCAUGGAGGAGGGCCCCGUGGGGAAGAGCCAACUCCAGCCCCUCCUGCCCGAGGGAGAGUGGAGCACCGCGGCCUCAGGGAGGGCUCCCACUGACCUCAGUCCCCAGCCUGCCCACUCACUGCCCCCUCCCUCUCUGCUCCGCCCUGGGCAUGGAGCAGGUGCUGCUCAGGGCCCUUCAGGUGCUCUGCGCUCUGGCUCGGAGAUCUCAGACAAGGCCUGACCUGCUCCCCGCCUCCGUUUCCCCACCAGGUCAUCUGGAAAUGGGCUAGGAGAGCCAACAGCCAGCCCGGCAUCCCCCAAAGGGUAGGGUCGGGAUUCCUUAAGCUGAGCACACAUGAACAUUCUUAAUUUUAAUAGUCAUGAAUAUGUGCGGAUGAGCUCUAGAAAAAUACCUAUAAUUUGUCCCGAACCAAUGAUUUUGUAGAUGUUAUUUCUGAGACUAAUACAAAGUAAAAGUAUUUGUUUAAAAUAAAUAUUAGGAGUGGGAUAUCUGGGUGGCGCAAGCAGUUGAGCAUCUGACUCUUGGUUUCGGCUCAGGUCAUGAUCUCAGGGUUGUGAGAUUGAGCCCCACAAGGGCGAUGGUAGGCUCCA